AUAGGAUUCAAUGUGUGGCAUACCCAAUGUUGGGCCUGGAGCUUAAAGCCUAGGCGAUGGAAACAUGGACAGAGGGGGGUGCAGGCCUGUGUGAGGUGUGAGUGGUGGUAACUGAUAUGGGCCUAAAGGCCUCAGAAGCCCAAACAAAACAACCAAAGGAAUGGGGGAGGAUCACUUCAGCCAGCUCGAUUCAAUCUUCCCCCUUGUGAUACCACCAUGAAUACUCCGGACCACUCUCUCAUAUCUCCAGCUCAAAUCAUAAAUUUACUAACCAAGAAAACCGCAAUCCCCCACCAAAUCCUUCCCUAAAUCCGAACUUAUCGAUUGCUUUCUCAAACGCUAAAUGUUGGGUCCAAAAUGAAGCCUUGAAGGCCCUAACCCUAAGUCCUAAUUUGGUUGAGAUAAACAUGCUGAGGCGCGAAAUUGGGACGGGAAGUGGUGAGAAAAUAUGUUACCGGAAGAACCAUGCAAAUAAUCAAUUCGAAAUAAUUACCGAGACAACGUGAAUAAAAGCUCCGGCAUGGUGGUUCUUCUGCCCGACGACGGGAAUGGUUUCAUAGUUAGUAAACUGGGAGCUCUAAAACACAUGGUUCUGGUUAUGGAUGAUGGUAAAAUUCAUGCUGAGAUAAUUUCUAUAUGAUCUUGACAGAGUGAAGAAAAACCUUGGACCCACCCGAAAUCGAUUUAACGAGGCGUACCACCUCGCAAGGAGGCACACUUCUACAGCUGAUGUACAUCGAGUCGGAAGAUGCAACAAUAGAAAAUAAGUUUGGUUCAACAAAGGUAAUAAUUUAUUUGUAAUCUGAAGUCUUCUGACUCCUAGCUUUGGGGCAUUUUUUCUGUUUUGGGAUGGCUUAAAUUAUUGUGUAUGUAUGCUCGAAUGAAACUUUCAUCCAAAUAGAACCAGUUAAUAAUUUAGUUAGUGUUGAUGGACUCAUGCUUGCGUAUGAAGCGGUGUUAGAGGUUGAUUUGGAAGGCGUUUGGAAGGCGAAAGCAAUAUCUCAUUGAAAUAACAUAGAUGGAUUUGUUUGCUUCA